UUAUUGAAAAUAAUUUUAAGUYUGAUYUGSUCCMUGAAAUAAUUUAAAUAGCUGCAGAAUUUUAACUGUACAAAGGUAGCAUAAUCAAUAGUUUUUUAAUUGAAAGCUGGAAUGAAGGAUUUGAUAAGGUAAAAAUUGUCUCAAAUUUAAUAAUAUUAAAAUUUUUUUUUUUGUUAAAAAACAAAAAUAAUUUUAAAAGACGAGAAGACCCUAUAGAUUUUUAUUUUUAUUAUUUAAAUAAAUUGAAAUAAAUUAAUAAAGUUUAAAUAUAAAAAAAUUUGGUUGGGGAAAUUAUUAAAUUAAUUAAAUUUUAAUUAUUUAUAAACAAAAAUUAUUGAAUUAAAGAACUUGAAGUUUUGAAUUAAUAGAAUAAAUUACCUUAGGGAUAACAGCGUAAUUUUUUUAGAGAGACCUUAUUAAUAAAAAAGUUUGCGACCUCGAUGUUGAAUUAAGAUAAAAUUUUAGUGUAGAAGUUAAAAAAUUUUGGUCUGUUCGACCAUUAAAAUCUUAC
rnacentral:rRNA from 1 species